UGGCGGACGGGUGAGUAACGCGUGAGGAACCUGCCUUGGAGAGGGGAAUAACACUCCGAAAGGAGUGCUAAUACCGCAUGAUGCAGUUGGGUCGCAUGGCUCUGACUGCCAAAGAUUUAUCGCUCUGAGAUGGCCUCGCGUCUGAUUAGCUAGUAGGCGGGGUAACGGCCCACCUAGGCGACGAUCAGUAGCCGGACUGAGAGGUUGACCGGCCACAUUGGGACUGAGACACGGCCCAGACUCCUACGGGAGGCAGCAGUGGGGAAUAUUGGGCAAUGGGCGCAAGCCUGACCCAGCAACGCCGCGUGAAGGAAGAAGGCUUUCGGGUUGUAAACUUCUUUUGUCGGGGACGAAACAAAUGACGGUACCCGACGAAUAAGCCACGGCUAACUACGUGCCAGCGGCCGCGGUAAUACGUAGGUGGCAAGCGUUAUCCGGAUUUACUGGGUGUAAAGGGCGUGUAGGCGGGAUUGCAAGUCAGAUGUGAAAACUGGGGGCUCAACCUCCAGCCUGCAUUUGAAACUGUAGUUCUUGAGUGCUGGAGAGGCAAUCGGAAUUCCGUGUGUAGCGGUGAAAUGCGUA
rnacentral:rRNA from 1 species